UACGAAGGGGGCUAGCGUUGUUCGGAUUUACUGGGCGUAAAGCGCACGUAGGCGGAUCGUUAAGUCGGGGGUGAAAUCCUGGAGCUCAACUCCAGAACUGCCUUCGAUACUGGCGAUCUUGAGUCCGGAAGAGGUGAGUGGAACUCCUAGUGUAGAGGUGGAAUUCGUAGAUAUCAGGAGGAACACCGGUGGCGAAGGCGGAUCUCUGGGCCAUUACUGACGCUGAGGAGCGAAAGCGUGGGGAGCGAACAGG
rnacentral:rRNA from 1 species